ACCGCGGUAGCCUAGUUGGUUAGGGCGUCGGCAGUACAGAUGCCAAAAGAUGCGGGUUCAAAUUCUGCUGCGGUG